rnacentral:sRNA from 1 species
GAAUUUUAUAAUUAAAAAUUUAAAAAGGUUAACAGAACUAUAGAAAGUAGAUGAGAAAGGCAUUUUUUUGAUUAAAUAUUAUAUAAUAUAUAAUUUUAGAUAAGUGUUGAAUAAUUUAUUGAAAAGAAUCAUUUCUUAUUUUUCAUCCAGGCGGGUAAAAUUCCUUGAUAAACUUUCAAGUACCUUAAUAUACAGCAAUAUAUUUCUUUAGCAGGUCAACUUUUGGUGGCCAUAAAUAACGCAGCCAGAACUUUUGCAAGCCGAUGCUGCGUGGGUGGCUAAAACCGCUUGGGGAUUUGACUGUGCAGCGUCCCCUUUGACGUCAUAGUGUUGAUCUCUGACGUCACUGAUGAUGGAGAGUGAGCGAGCAGAAUGUUGAUGUCAGGCACAGAGUUUUCCCGUAACAGACAAAAAAUGUUGCUAACAUUGCAUAACUGUUGAGUGUCUAAGGAUGCAGUUUAAAUGGAGAAAAUUUGCGAGAGCGAGAGUGAGAGCAUGAAGCCAUAUUGCGCAUACGCCAUGAGUGUCCUUCGGGGUUUUUUUUUUUUUGGCGAACAGCUGUGGAUGCUGCUGCUGGCAGAGAAACUUCAUGAGUGACGUCUCCUUGAACUCAACAUUUGCCGAGGCCAUCGAAAUUCGCCAUCGUAUACCUGGGAUUCUUAGCUCAUCAGAUUUGUCCAGGCCAGAUUUGACCCUCCAGGGUUUUCUUUUAAGACUUUUUAAUUUUGAACGAAUCCAUUAAGGGUCAAAACAGAAUACUUAUUCUACCUAGCUUCAUCACUUAGAAGAGAGAUAAUUAUGUUCUUUUUAAUGAAAUAAAUAAGUGGAAGUACCACACAAAUUUAAACCAGAAUUUAUAAGUUGAAAUUCAUUUUAACUUUGUAUUAAAAGACUCACGGCCACCUAACUAAAAAGGAUAUAAUAAAGUCAGCCCAAAAUAAAUGCAUAUAUAUCUUCGCAUGCUCUCUCUGCUGCCUUAUUCAAGGCUGCCCAUGACCAAUAAAAAACACAUUGUAUGGUCCAACAGUCGCAAUGAAACCACCCCAGCAUCCAUGCCACCCAUUUGCCAACCUCAGCCAACACAUUUGGCGGCCGAAAAUUCAGCUAAAAGGACUCCCGGUGGACAGAAAAACUCUGUGGUAGAUACAGAUCGAUAAAAUUAAAAGGCUACAGUCAACAGUGGAUGCCCAAGUGGGAAUGAGUUGGCUGUGGGGAAUGUGAAGGGUGGCCAGCACCAAUGUGCACCAAAUUUUCUAAAAAGGAAACCAAAUGGAGGUUUUUGGCUAGAACAUAGAAAUGGUUUCGUUUCCUGAUAUUUUUUUUGUGGCGAAACCGAAAGUG